rnacentral:tRNA from 1 species
GAGCAAGAAUGGUGUAGUGGUUUGAGUGUUCAACUACAGCUCUGGAGACCAGGGUUCAAAUCCCUGCUUGGCCA